rnacentral:rRNA from 1 species
ACGGGAGGCAGCAGUGGGGAAUAUUGCACAAUGGGCGAAAGCCUGAUGCAGCGACGCCGCGUGAGUGAAGAAGUAUUUCGGUAUGUAAAGCUCUAUCAGCAGGGAAGAUAAUGACGGUACCUGACUAAGAAGCACCGGCUAAAUACGUGCCAGCAGCCGCGGUAAUACGUAUGGUGCAAGCGUUAUCCGGAUUUACUGGGUGUAAAGGGAGCGUAGGCGGCAAGAUAAGUCUGAAGUGAAAGCCCGGGGCUCAACCGCGGGAUUGCUUUGGAAACUGUAGUGCUAGAGUGUCGGAGGGGUAAGUGGAAUUCCUAGUGUAGCGGUGAAAUGCGUAGAUAUUAGGAGGAACACCAGUGGCGAAGGCGGCUUACUGGACGAUUACUGACGCUGAGGCUCGAAAGCGUGGGGAGCAAACAGGAUUAGAUACCCUGGUA